CAGUCGCCGCGGGAAUACGGAGGGUGCAAGCGUUAAUCGGAAUUACUGGGCGUAAAGCGCACGCAGGCGGUCUGACAAGUCAGAUGUAAAAUCCCCGGGCUUAACCUGGGAACUGCAUUUGAAACUGUCAGGCUGGAGUCUUGUAGAGGGGGGUGGAAUUCCAGGUGUAGCGGUGAAAUGCGUAGAGAUCUGGAGGAAUACCGGUGGCGAAGGCGGCCCCCUGGACAAAGACUGACGCUCAGGUGCGAAAGCGUGGGGAGCAAACAGGAUUAGAUACCCCAGUAGUCCCUGUCUCUUAUAC
rnacentral:rRNA from 1 species